CCUAAUUGCAUGUUUUACCUUCGAGGUGAAAGUUAAUGGAUUACUGGUUUUGUGAAAGAUAUCAGUAAAGUUUUUGCACAGUUCGAGAAUUACUAAUUUUUCUUCGGAAUUCAUGUCUUUAGUUCGAAGAGGAAUUUCAUUAUUUGGAUUUUUGUCAUGGUUGGUUUUUUGUUGUGAAAUUUUGAACUACAUUUUCAAAAGUGUUCAAUUCGUGAUCGGGUUCAAAAGACUCAACUGGAAACCGUUCUUUCAAGGUGAAAGAUACAAAUUGAUCAAUGUAGUUUUGGAUUUCAAUAGGUGCAAAUCCGUCUGAAAGAAGCGUGUGUUAAAAUUUGUGGAUCAAAAAUUUUAUUAUUUAUUUUUGACGGCUUUGUUAGAAUUUGCAUUCAAGUAUGUUUACAAAGUUUUCGCUCGAACGGUCGAGCAUUGCUGUCGAGCUGAUAUUGUGUUUUUAAAGUUAAAUUCCUUCAAGUGAUAAACCUUUGUGCACGAUGUUGUGUGGAAAAUGUAAACAUGCUACAACAAAAUAUGAAGACUUGAUCCAAUGCAAAAUUAAAUGCGGAACAAUCUACUGUAUAAAGUGUAUCGGAAUGACUCUUGACACUAUGAGCGAACUGAAUAGAAAUAGAAUAGUCGAACAAUGGAUUUGCCACAAAUGCGAAGAAGAGCAACAGGAACUGGACAAUCGUCUGACCCGUCGAUUCAAGAACCACCACCAAGAAUAUGGGAAUGUGUUACAUAUCAUAGUAAAAAGCCACUAAGGGGCAGCCCAGAAGAACCCUCUAGAGCUAAACGCCAAACCUUCAUGA